rnacentral:rRNA from 1 species
UACGGAGGGUGCUAGCGUUAAUCGGAUUUAUUGGGCGUAAAGGGGGCGUAGGCGGGAAUGAAAGUCAGGCGUGAAAUUCCGAGGCUCAACCUCGGAGCUGCACCUGAAACUUCAUUUCUUGAGGGUAGGCGGAGAAAACGGAAUUCCACAAGUAGCGGUGAAAUGCGUAGAUAUGUGGAAGAACACCAGUGGCGAAGGCGGUUUUCUAGCUUAUACCUGACGCUCAGGCCCGAAAGCGAGGGGAGCAAACAGG